AGGCGAGCGCUGGGGACGCAGCACCUGCCCCGCGCGGCCGAGAGGCGGCAGCCCCAGGUCCCCAGCGCGCGAAAUUAGUAAAGGGCGCCUGGCCCGAUUCUCAGAAGUGGCUCCCUUCGCCGCAACUCCACACCUCGGGGUAACCGUAGAGAUUGGCAGCAAUGCCCCAGCCCCUCACCAGCACUGUGCAAAGUGACUUUGACAGGCAGAGAAAAGCCAACCCAGUCGAAUUCGUCUGGAAAGCAUUCCAGCAACCCAGAGAGGAGCCUCUGUUUCUCUCUCUGGGAAAAAGCCCCAAGGGUUUUGCUGAACCCAGGUCUUCCUGCUCAUCUCUCAGCAGUUCAGAGCUACAUAAACAACUUCUGACCAUUUACGCAAUCAUGUAAACCUACCCUGACAUCUCCACUAUGUGGAAAAGAUGUUAACUGGAAAACUAUUUUUAAACUACUGCAGUAAGCAAAUAAACAUCCAACUCCAACAUAUAUAUGCAGCAGCCUUAUUAGUUCAUUCAGUGUUGGUUUGGUUUGUUUGUUUUGUCUUCUGCUUUUUAGAAUUAAUUAUUAUCUUUAUAAUUCCUGUUCGAGAAGUGGGCAAAACCAGGCUAGUGAUAGGUAUUGUUGUGGUCAAAUUUUUCAUCACUUGAAAUUCCAUGACUUUCAUGAUUGCUGAGAUUAAUGCUAAAUAAAGAAGUUACCCCCCCGCCCCCACCCCACCCCAACCUCCCCACCAAAGUUUCCUGAUUACUUAAACUUGGAGAGAAAUUUUCAGGCUUUUUCCUCCCUCCUUGCCUGGUAUGUGUCUGUAAUAGAGGUACUUUUGCAAAACUGGAAUGUUGGUGAUGCAGGUGUUUUCCAUGGUAAACAGCCACUGAGGAUCAAUGGUUCCCAGGUUCCCACUCACUUUGAAGGCUUUUGUGCUUCUGCCGGAACUGUGACUUUUACUACCUGU
rnacentral:lncRNA from 10 species